UACGUAGGGUGCAAGCGUUAAUCGGAAUUACUGGGCGUAAAGCGUGCGCAGGCGGUGAUGUAAGACAGGUGUGAAAUCCCCCGGGCUUAACCUGGGAACUGCAUUUGUGACUGCAUCGCUGGAGUGCGGCAGAGGGGGAUGGAAUUCCGCGUGUAGCAGUGAAAUGCGUAGAUAUGCGGAGGAACACCGAUGGCGAAGGCGGCUCACUGGCCCGAUAC
rnacentral:rRNA from 1 species